UACCUGCCCUGAAGUGAGGAAUACCGGCGAGAAAUCGCCGACAAUACCGCAUAGGCUUCGGUCUUGAGAAAGGCAGAAGCAAAGCCGCAAGGCGCUUUGGGAUGGGCCUGUGGCCGAUUAGCUAGCUGGUGGGGUAAGAGCUCACCAGGGCUGUGAUCGGUAGCUGGUCUGAGAGGAUGGUCAGCCACACUGGGACUGAGACACGGCCCAG
rnacentral:rRNA from 1 species